ensembl:lncRNA
CGAAACUCUUCCCUCCGUGUUCUUUUUUUCCACAUUCAAAUGUUAAGGAAAUGAAGUAAAUUUGAGAUUGCUUGUAGGUGCAGGCGAUGCAGCUGUGCAGCACCGUACUGUACGUGCAUUCGGAUGUAUUGUCUAUGAGCUUCGCACUGUAGAUGCUAGAGAUCCAGAAUGAGUUGACAAAGGACCCUGAAUAUUAAAAACUUGCAUUGUGCUGUGCUCUCUCAUGGUCAGAGGGGGGCGGAGAGCAGGCAAGGAAGUGCAUGAUGACAAAGGAAUAAAAAGAACUGAGGAAGGUUACUGUGUAUUUGUAUGGAAAAGAACAAUGAAGUUGAUCCCUGGAGCUGAAAACAGGCUCAAUGGCUUUCGAAGAUGACUGUAGGAAGAGGCUGAUUCGUAUAAUACAGAUUACAGACACACUGCAGAAGAGUGCAAUGCAGGACGUUUGAUUAAACAUGAAACUACAAAAGUUAAAGGAUGAGGUGCUUUUAAUUGAGCUUUUAGUUUCUGUAUGAUGCAAAUGCCAGUACAAGCCUGGUGUUAGUGGCUUAGAAGAGCUGCAGGAAGAGCCAAAGGAGAGGAGGCACGAGUGGAAUUCAAAGAAGUGAAGCACCUCGUCUGCUGACAGCCUGCUGGCCGUCCCUCCGAAGACAGGUCAGGUGUGAAAUGAGAACUGCUCAACCAGAGCUCUUUUUGUCUGAUCUGCACGUGAGUUUCUGCACUUUAUUUGUGAGUGCCUGCAUGUAUGUAGGACACAGAGGACCCCGUGCACCUCCACAUGUCUUUGUGCAUGAAGAAGCUGGCGUUGCAUUUACAGCCUACACUCACUGUUAUGAAAGACUUGUCUCCGGUUUGUUUCUUUUUGUUUUGUUAGAUUUAGAACUAGAGUAUUGCACACAACACGCUUAAAACUUUGUGCCUGCUUGUCUCAUCAAUAGAUUGGACUGGAUGUUAAUUGAUAACCACUCCCAUAACCAGUGAGCAAAAAAGUCAGUGACUGUGGGAACGACAUGUAGCCCUUCUGAUGUGCAACUGGACAUGCUGCAGUAUUUAUGGAUUUGUCACCGUCAUAGCAACAUGGGUCUUUUUUGAAAAACGGGGAGGGAUGCAAACAAAAAAACUAUAGAGUUGUACCCAUUUGCAACACGAAGAAAUAAUGACAAACCAUCAAAACAGAAACCGUAUUUAAUUCCUGGAGAGUUUUUCACUCAGCAAACCCUACCUUAAGAGAAAGAAACUGAGCGUGCGUCCGAAAAGAGGUCAACCUGCCUGAAAUAUGUGUGUGUAGCCGUGAGCAUAAUGCAAACCUCUGCAAACAUUACCUUAAGAUUUAAGGGCACAAGCGUGCGUCCCAAACGAGGUCAACCCACCGCUGUGUGAAAUGUCUAGUGGUUGCAGCGAGCACGCCGCAGGCCUCAGCAAACACCAUCCCGUGAUUUAAGGCUGCAAGCACGCGUCCUAAACGAGUGAGUCAAGCGUCUGUGUGGUAGGAGGCAAAGCGAAAUGUUCAGCAAACGUUAGGAUAUUGACCUACUUUAAGGUUAAAUAUCGAUAAUAUUUAAAUAUAUAUAUAUGAAGCACUAAGCCUGCUACCGACCUCAACUUUUAGGUGUUGCUUUUCUGGGAGGGAUGCGAGCGUGGAUCCCGAGAGAGUUCAUGCUAUCUAGAUCAAGCAGUGAAUCCCCAGCCAACCACAUUUUAUUUAUUUAUUUACUCAUUAUUUAGUUAAAUUUGUACCCAAUCGCCGCCCCGUGUGAAAACUCCAACAUGUUUAAUGUUAAUUUAUACCGAUUUAAAAGGUAUUGAAUAAUCGUUCAGUUUCAAUGACAUGUGCCAGAAAAAUUCUCAUAGUAAUUUCAAGAUGGGUCACCCAGACGUUAUGACAACAACAAGAUUUAUACCUACUUAAACCAUCUGAGGAUUGUUUUAGGUUCAUUCCCUUAGCUAAACCAUUGCGCAGGUGUUUAACAACUUGUGAAUCACAUUCUGGACACGCCUGGCUUCAGCGAGUUGCCAAACUACCCUGCUGCCCACAGCACUGUUUGGGUUUUGUAGCUGCAAAUUGCUUGAGGGACCAGGGGUCUAAAAGGGAAGGAAGAAGUGCAGCGGAAUGUCCACAUGAGAUCAAGGUGACAGGAUGCAUUCGGCAUGCUCAAUUCCAUACGCCUAAGAUAAAGUGCUGGUAUUUUACAGCCUCUCUCUCACUUGGAAUGUUAUGCUUCCUGACAACGUUUUACUUGUAUCCAGCUGUACAGGAGGAAGCCACGUUCAUCGCAGAAUUUGAAGGGUUUAUUAAAAUCACAAUUACCGUUUAGUCGGAGAACAUGAGAGAUGGAGAACAAUGUCGAUUUAGAGAUAAAACUUUGGUGAAAAUGUUUCUGUGAAAUGCUGAGAACUGAUUGAAAGCAAUGUGAAGCAGCUAACACGGAUGAGUUGUAAUGUGAUUUGUGUGGUUUCACCUUUUCAUAGCGGAGCAGCAGAGAAAUGCUACACGCAUCUUUUGCACGUCACACGCUGACAUGUUUGGGGAGGCAUGGGCAGAUGCAUGUUCAUGAGAUGUCAAUGCCCUGCUGGAUGGUGAGGGGAGAGGGAGGGGGGGGGGGGGGGGCUACUGCUUCCUUGGCCGUGUUCCAACGAAGAUGAUUAUAAUGAUGCUGGAAAUUUAAUUGGUGUUCAUAAAUAAAUGCAACAGAAAGAGGCCGCCCAGUUUCCUCUCUUUCUGAUGAUAAUCCACCUUGAGGCAUAAUUCCAGGAUUUCUUUAGAUUGUUAACGGCGCUGCAGCAGGAUCAAGAUGCUAGAUGUGACAAUGCCACGACACUGCAGCAGUUUAUCGCUCUCUCAGUUAUUUAUGCCCAUUUUGUCCAAUUAGUGCAGCAGGUAGGGGCUUAGUAAUCGAUCUGAGACAGAAAUGUUUUCUUUUUAAGAGAUUGAUGAAUUUCCAUUCGCAUGUCUCCAGGACAAGUUACAAUUUUUUUACAUCACGGUUGGAUUGUCUUGAAUCAUCCCUGAGCACCUGGCACACAGGACUCGGUCACAUCUCAUAAUUAGCUUCUAGAUGGGCUUUUUUAUGUUUGCUAAUUUGUGCCCUGAGGCCUUGGUAUUCAAGCCUUACCAAUUUAGCUUGCGUGCUGACGUACAAUGUAUGUAUUUAAAUGUAAAAAAGAGAAAUUAUUGUGAUGGCUCGUGAACAUUUGUUUCAAGCAGCUAAUUGUGUUGAUGACCUCUUUGACUGUUGGAAGGUAGGAGAUUUGGUUUUUUUUUCCCGGACUACCAAUCUUGUUUUUUACCCAAAGGAGUACUCCGGGUCCCAUGAGUCUGAGUUAGUGGUCAUCAGGAGAAAUGAUGAACAGGAUGAGAGAUGAUAGUGUCACAAGCUGAAGGUCACCUUUUGUUUCAUAAAGCUUUGUGACAGUCGGAAAUUAGAAAUUAGACCGGGUCUCAUCUUUUCUGAAUCCAUUUUCUUUCCAUUAGAGCCAGUCAAAAAGAAUCAUAAAAGUGACACUUCAUACAGUGAAAUGCAAAUUCCCUAAAUUAAGUGGUUUGUUCCCAAUAUGAAUCAUUCAUUACAACGUUUUGUUUGUCCCACUGCAUUCGUUCUUCAGCUGUUAUUUGUGUUAUGGGGCUCUGGGAAUUUAAACAUCAUUUAAACACAUGCAGUCUAUGUCAAAUAUGAACUUAAAAUGAAACAUUAACAGUUGAUGAUUUUCUUUUUCUGAUUCGAAUGAUUAACCGCAGUUAUUCUUUUUUGGUUUUCUUCUGUAUGAGGAAGGAAAUACUGCGAACAUCUGCUGUCAGAUGCUUUUAAGAUGCGUCAUUGUCAAUAAGGCAGUUCUGCUAUCGCUUACAUGAGCAACCAGCAAAGGAUGGACGUGACAGAUCCCAUUAAAGCCAAUAGAGUAGUUCCCCCACCUCAACGCUGUGAAAACUCAAAUUUUGUCUUUUCAUUUUAAAGGCUGCUAGAAAUGCAAAGUGCUUCAGAAAAAAAAAUCCUAUAACUGAUAAAUGUGGGAUUAUUACAUUUUCUGACAAUUCACUUGAGGGAUUUACUUGAUGUAAGAAAUCUUGUUGAAAGCUUUUCUCCCACGACGCCCCAAAGAACCGACACAACAUUGCCACACAACACAGUUUUAUAAUUCAAGCUAUACACAAAAAAGGAAAUGAGUGGAGCGUGAGACUACUACCCAGAUUAAGGACUUUGACACAACACGGCCAUUUAUGUAACAAACAUACUUACGCGUGCGUGAACAAUACUAAUUAAGAUGGGAAAACAUAUUUGGAAGACUUUGCGUGUAAUGCGUUAAAAUGUUGUUGCCUUCGUUGACUCCAAAACUGAGGCUAAAUGCAUAAAUCAAUGAUGAUGUAAAGCCCUGUGUCAUCAUUCAUCUGUUUUUAUUAGUUGAAUAGGUCAACAAACUUAAUGAGGGUAAAAUUAAACGUGUAAUAAAGUGUAUAUAGAAGACUGAGUGAGUCAAGUCAUUUUUGUAUAGCCCAAUACCACAAAUUUCCCGCAAGAGGCUUUACAAUGUUUAUUUUUAAAACAACAAACUGCCUUGUCACUGUAUGACGAUGAGUAAUGUAGCAAUGGAAAUAAUUGAGUUACUGUUAUAUUAGACACUGCCAAGUAUAAACUCUUAGAUUGAAUGGAUUGAUUUGUCCGUGACCCCGUCUACUCCUGGCAUUAAUAAUCCAAUUAAAUUGGAUAGUGCUCCUUGUUGUCUUGGGUGUGCCCCGAGAAGACAAACCUCAAAGUCAGAUAUGCGGCCCCCCUCCCCGUGAUGGGGGGCAUUACAGGUGUCAGCGCGCC